GUUUCUACAGAUCUUCUCUGCAUGUAAAAACAGAGGUUUUGUCCAAGAAGAUUUUGUUUCACUGGCCACUGAAAGACAAGAAAAAAAAAGCCAACACCAAGGCUGCUGCUUCCUGUGCCACUCCAGCCAACACCAAGGCUGCUGCUUGCUGUGCCACCUCAGACACAACCACUGGAACACCUGGAAACAACACACACAGGAAAUCAACGCCUGGCAGUCGUGUGUGAAGUUAACGUGUGACAUUCCAACAUGAAGGGUCUACGUGUCAUUGAACUAUUACCAUAGAACAACGAAGUAACAGAGAGCUUAGAGUACACCUCUCUCUGUUACCAGAACAUCUUGUUCAGCAGAGCCGGCUUGGUGAAUAGUAACAGUGAAGGCUGACAGAGCAGAGAGCGCAGAGUCAACCUCUCUCUGUUACCAGAACAUCUUGUUCAGCAGAGCUGGCUGACGCCAAAGUGUUUCUUAAACAUACAUGUAUGCAUGUCGGCUAUAGGGUGUGGGACCAGCCCUGCAAACAGCAUGCACCACAGAGACAGAGAGAUUUAAGCAACUCCUGACAGUUGCAUGUGCAACUGAAGGGGUGGGUCUCUCUCUUCCUCUCUCUCUCUCUGCCUAAAAAGGACAGUAUGUUCUUUCUGUGUUUGUAGAGUGGAGGGGCAUACAGACUGACUAGGAAUCACUAGAGCUCUCUACUGCUCACUCUGCAUGUCUGGUUUAAUACUGACAGUUAUCCAGAUAUUCUAUUUGUAAUGUCAUUGACCACCAUUUACAUCCAACAAUCAACCCUUUAUAUAAAACGUGUAACUUUGGGA